CAGCAGCCGCGGUAAUCCGAAGGGGGCUAGCGUUGUUCGGAUUUACUGGGCGUAAAGGGCGCGUAGGCGGACUGAUAAGUCAGGGGUGAAAUCCCAAGGCUCAACCUUGGAACUGCCUUUGAUACUGUUUGUCUUGAGUUCGAGAGAGGUAAGUGGAACUGCGAGUGUAGAGGUGAAAUUCGUAGAUAUUCGCAAGAACACCAGUGGCGAAGGCGGCUUACUGGCUCGAGACUGACGCUGAGGCGCGAAAGCGUGGGGAGCAAACAGGAUUAGAUACCCCAGUAGUCCCUGUCUCUUAUAC
rnacentral:rRNA from 1 species